rnacentral:lncRNA from 1 species
UUUCCACUCCAUAGCCCCUGCCUUAUUGGGUUUCUCAUGUCUCAUCUCAUUUCCAGUUUCUUGUGCCUCCUGGACUUGCCUUCCAAGAAGUCUACUGCCCCGAAGUCCUUUUGUCAGGAUCUGCUUUGUGGGGUGGGCUCUGUUUACCAGAUAAAGACCCUGAAAGCCCUUGAGCCCAAACAGUGGGGGAAGUCAGAAAAGACUGGACCCAGAGGAUGGUGCCUUCUAGACAGGCAGCGAUGGGAUCCUCUAGUCAAACAAACGUCUUCAGCAGAUUUUUUUCUUUCACCAAAUUCUGAGUCAAGACACGAUGUGUUCGUAUUUAAUGAGWGGAAAGUUGUCCAUGCGGUCAAUUGAAACCGUCUUCAUCACCCUCACGAAGUCGCACCUAUAUGAAAGUGUUCUAGGAAGCUCAAGGGCGUGGAUUUAGAUCAAUGAAGACUUUCUUGCAUGUGUUCUUAGCUCCAGUUGAGACUGAAAGUAAUGUUUACAUGUAUCUUUUAUUCCUGGGAGUAUAACAUUGUGCUAAUAAUAACUAUAAGAAAGCAAGCAAACUGUACAUUCUAAAUUUAUCCCCCCUAUGCUUUAAGUGAGGAGAGGAAAAAUCAUGAAUAAUAAAUAUGGAGAUAAGAGAAUGAAACUGGGAAAU